rnacentral:rRNA from 1 species
UACAGAGGUCCCAAGCGUUGUUCGGAUUCACUGGGCGUAAAGGGUGCGUAGGCGGUCGGGUAAGUCUGACGUGAAAUCUUCAAGCUUAACUUGGAAACUGCGUCGGAUACUAUUCGGCUAGAGGAAUGGAGGGGAGACUGGAAUACUUGGUGUAGCAGUGAAAUGCGUAGAUAUCAAGUGGAACACCAGUGGCGAAGGCGAGUCUCUGGGCAUUAACUGACGCUGAGGAGCGAAAGCAUGGGGAGCGAACAGG